GACGAACGCUGGCGGCGUGCCUAAUACAUGCAAGUCGAACGCAGUGGGGGCGGGUGAGUAACACCUGGGUAACCUCCCAUCAGAGGGGAUAACACUUGGAUACAGGUGCUAAACCGAUACUGAUGGAUGGACCAGUGUGGCAUUAGCUAGUUGGUGAGGUAACGGCUCACCAAGGCCACGAGGCGUAGCUGACCUGAGAGGAUGAUCGGCCACACUGGGACUGAGACACGGCCCAGACUCCUACGGGAGGCAGCAGUGGGGAAUCUUCGACAAUGGACGAAAGCCUGACCGAGCAACGCCGCGUGAGUGAAGAAGGUUUUCGGGUCGUAAAACACUGUUGUUAGAGAAGCGGUAUCUAACCAAAAAGCCACGGCUAACUACGUGCCAGCAGCCGCGGUAAUAC
rnacentral:rRNA from 1 species